AUUGAACGCUGGCGGCAGGCCUAACACAUGCAAGUCGAGCGGAUGAAGGGAGCUUGCUCCUGGAUUCAGCGGCGGACGGGUGAGUAAUGCCUAGGAAUCUGCCUGGUAGUGGGGGAUAACGUCCGGAAACGGGCGCUAAUACCGCAUACGUCCUGAGGGAGAAAGUGGGGGAUCUUCGGACCUCACGCUAUCAGAUGAGCCUAGGUCGGAUUAGCUAGUUGGUGGGGUAAAGGCCUACCAAGGCGACGAUCCGUAACUGGUCUGAGAGGAUGAUCAGUCACACUGGAACUGAGACACGGUCCAGACUCCUACGGGAGGCAGCAGUGGGGAAUGUUGGACAAUGGGCGGAAGCCUGAUCCAGCCAUGCCGCGUGUGUGAAGAAGGUCUUCGGAUUGUAAAGCACUUUAAGUUGGGAGGAAGGGCAGUAAGUUAAUACCUUGCUGUUUUGACGUUACCAACAGAAUAAGCACCGGCUAACUUCGUG
rnacentral:rRNA from 1 species